CUUGAAACAAUAUAAGAGGUCCAGCCUGCCCAGUGAACUUAUUCAACGGCCGCGGUAUCCUAACCGUGCGAAGGUAGCGUAAUCACUUGUUCUUUAAAUGAGGACUAGUAUGAAUGGCACCACGAGGGUUAUACUGUCUCCUUUUUUAAAUCAGUGAAACUAAUCUCCCCGUGAAGAAGCGAGGAUUUAUUUAUAAGACGAGAAGACCCUAUGGAGCUUUAAACGACCAACACCUGCUACACACCAUAAUAAACCUAACAAGAAGUAUAGCACUAUGAUUCAUAGUUUUCGAUUGGGGUGAUCACGGAGCAAAAACUAACCUCCAUGCCGAAUGGGUUUACACCCUUAGCAAAAAGCCACAACUUUAUGCACUAAAAUAUUAACGUACUUUGACCCAAUAUUUUGAUCAACGAAC
rnacentral:rRNA from 1 species